UGGGGAAUAUUGGACAAUGGGCGCAAGCCUGAUCCAGCCAUGCCGCGUGUGUGAAGAAGGCCUUUUGGUUGUAAAGCACUUUAAGCGAGGAGGAGGCUACUUGGAUUAAUACUCUAGGAUAGUGGACGUUACUCGCAGAAUAAGCACCGGCUAACUCUGUGCCAGCAGCCGCGGUAAUACAGAGGGUGCGAGCGUUAAUCGGAUUUACUGGGCGUAAAGCGUGCGUAGGCGGCUUCUUAAGUCGGAUGUGAAAUCCCUGAGCUUAACUUAGGAAUUGCAUUCGAUACUGGGAAGCUAGAGUAUGGGAGAGGAUGGUAGAAUUCCAGGUGUAGCGGUGAAAUGCGUAGAGAUCUGGAGGAAUGCCGAUGGCGAAGGCAGACAUCUGGCCUAAUACUGACGCUGAGGUACGAAAGCAUGGGGAGCAAACAGG
rnacentral:rRNA from 1 species